rnacentral:lncRNA from 1 species
CGGUGCUCGAGCUGUGGUGCGUGCCGCUAAGUUGUGCGUUCCAGGGUGCACUCGCCGGCGAGGCUGCACGGCGCCGGUUUCAUUGCUAAAAUCCGACGGACUUGUUGCAGAACUCGUUUUUUUUGUCGGGAAAGGGCUUCCCCGUGUAACUUUACAGCAGUUAUCGUAGAUAAGACUUGCAAAUUACAGAUGUGGACGGUGAGGGAACGGGAAUUUCACUGAAAGCGCCUGAGAACCAGUAAGAGACCUGCAACAGCUUUGUGCUCCACUGGCGAAUGCUUCCUCCCCUAAUACACAUUAUGUGUGCUUGGAGACACAAGGAGUAAGAUACAGCCCCUCAAGGGACUCGUCAUAGGGAGAGGACACAGCUUUGGGAAUAAAGGGGCCACAAAGGAGGAGAGAGGAGUUUGCUGAAACUUCCCAAGCUCCCAUUCCAGCAGUUCCUGAAGGAUUCAUUUCUCUCUGAGGAUCUCAUGAGGUGGCUUAGCAGCUAGAAUCUCUUCCUUAACAGUGGGAAGAACAACUCCUGGAAAUUUAGGUCGACUUUGACUGGAUUUAAAAGAAAGCUGUACAAUUCCACUUCUGUAUAUACAACCAAAGGAAAUGAGAUGUGCAUACCCAUGUUCAAUGAAGCAUUAUUCACAAUAGCCAAAAUGUGGAACCAAUCCUUAAACAAAAGGAAAACAGAAAAUCUGCUCAAGGCACCUGAGAAAAUCACAACCCACACUUGCGAACCCCUAGGAGACCUAAAGCUGUGGUUUUACAAAUAAACAGAUAAGUAACAUUCCUACUCUUUCCUAUAGGUACUCAAUCUUCUUAACAACUCCCAUCCCACACAGGUUUGCAUCCCCAGCAGAUACAUAUGGCUAUGUGGUCACCCAUUCGAUCAGCCUAUAAAAGACUUGUCUUAUUUGAUAUUGUGAAACCCAUGGUUAUCAGUGUAUAUGAAAAUGUUUGGUUCAGGGGUCAAUGUACAAUAUGACAAGCAAAGUCCUCUAAUACACAGUUAUAUAAAAUCACUCACCUGAGAGCCAAGUGGACAAUUGGCCUUAUAUUGGCUGGAGUUGGAGCCCCAGAGGGAAAAUUUGCCUAUUAUUAGGCAACUCUUCAAAACUUUACUUAUUCGUUUCUAAACACUGUCUCAUAAAAUGGGGGAUGCUUUAGAUGAAUUAAGAUUAGCACUAGAUUACUUAUUCGUUGAAAAUUAGCACUAGAUUUCUUAUUGGUUGAACAAGGAGGAGUGUGCACCAUAAUCAAUAUAACCUGCUGCAGUUAUGUAAACACCUCAGGUCACAUAGAAGAAGAUAUACAGAAAAUACAUGAACAAGCUGUGUGGUUGCGUAAAUAUAACCAAGGCACCAAUCCCAACUGUAUCUGGUCAGCCAUUAGAAGCACCCUCCUGAGUCUCACUUGGUUGUUGCCCUUCCUAGGAACUUUGAUAGUUGUCUUAUUAUUAAUCUUUGGCCCUUGCUUGUUUAAAUUCUUGGUAAAGUUUGUGUUUUUUAGAUUACAACAAUUCCACAUAAAGAUGAUACUGACACAAAGCUUCCAAUCCAUCCCGUCUUCUGAACCGGGAAAUAAAGACACCCUGCCUUUAGGUGUCUUUAGAUCUAGAUCAGGCAUCUAGAGAUUUUUACUCCUCCAAUACUUGGCAGGGUCUAUGCCCGUAGACUCAUCAGGAUACCAUGUAAAUGAGGACCUCCCUUGGUACCCCAGAGGCCAACUGUAGACCCUUAUGAGAAAAUCCUGUCCCCAAAAUGAACAUCCACUGUCAGCAGGAAGAAGUUACAGAAGACCAGCCUUUGCCCUUACGAUUAAGGGUCCUCUUGUAAGUAGAGAGGGGAAUGUUAGGAAAGCAGGAGCCUAGGUGAUCCAGAGUGACACCAUUUUAAAAUAAACUCCACCUGAAAACUAGCAAGGCAUCUGCACACAUCUGUUUAGCAAGUAUAUACUUCUGUAACUGGAAUAAAAAGCGUUAUUUUAGAAUAUGCCUAUAGUUUGUAAUAAUUAGCCGAGGGAAAAAAAGUUCACAUUGGUGUAGGAAAAGUGCCCUAAUGGUCAUGGGUAAUAAUGGGACCGUGGUUCUGGUCAGUGAUUUGAUGGAAGGGGUGUAGAUAAUAUAUUGUUGUAAAUAAUAAAAAUAAAAAAUUGUUGUAAGUAAUAAAAAUAAAAUAAUAUUGUUGUAAGUAAUAAAGUAGGAGAAAUAUUUGGUCUUUUGCUUUUGGGUUAGUGCAACAGUAGUACCAUUACUUGGAGGAGAAGUUAGAGAAGGACAAGAAUAGGCUUGAAUAAGAUGAGUGAGAAGAGAGAAAAAUUCCGUAAGUGGAGAUGGCCAGGGAACACCAGGGCAGCAGAAUCUAACUCUGAAUUUAAUGCUGUUGUCUGUUCAUAUUGCACUGCGCUGUAAUCUCCCUAUCUUUCCUAAACCAUUGGCAAAGUCUGCUAUCCACUGGGGCCUUGGGUCGGUGGUGCUUUGGGAAAUACCAGAAGAGGGAAAGUACGGCAAAUGUGCAGUGUCACAGAUGAUAGGAGGAAAGCUGGCCAGUGGGAUGAUUAAAACAAUUUCGGUGGGAGUGGGAAUUCAGACCAUGUAAAUGGUCUGAAUUAAGAAAAUUUCAAGAAACAAAAAAUGUUUCUAAUGAGCCAAAGUGAAAGCUCUUCAUGAUUUCUUUAUAGAGGCUCUCUAGUGCUUGUCCUAAUUUCCUGAAAUCUCAUGGGUAUCUUACUCUCCUGGUGCCCGCCUCAAACAUUCACUGUAGCAAUUAUAUGAGCAGCCUAGAGAAUCCCAAUCCCAGUGGUCUUGCUCCCUGGAUCUACUUUCUCUUAAAAAUCAUUCCCCUAAGUUUCCGUCACUUGGUUGAAGUUUAGUAGAUAUCUCCACAUCUCCAGCUAGAACAGCACCAGAAUUUCAGGACUAGGGCAAUAGAGUCUGAUAUUAAAUUCUAUUUCUAUCUAUCUAUCUAUCAUCUAUCUAUCUAUCUAUCUAUCUAUCUAUCUAUCUAUCUAUCUAUCUACAGAACAAUUUGUGGGAUAGUAGCUUUGGGGUCCCAGAUCUAGGAUGGGCCUGGUCCUCCAUGCUGGUUCUCCUGGGUGAUAUUUCUGUUAGUUUGAACAGUAAUCACACUUUUAUUACUGUUUCAUCUUUUUUUUUUCACUCUUAGACUGAUUUUAUCAUGUGUAUAAAACAUACACACACCUACAUCUCAAGGAUAAACAUUAAUCCUUGAAAAAUAUGUGGUCUAAAACUAUAUUGAGGAGAGAAAGAUAGGACACUUUAAUUGCCACAUGAUUAACACGAGGUCACCACACAGCUUUCACAAAUCUACAAGUCAUUCUAUUUAGGCUGAGUCAAGUUCUCCCUUGGGCCAGCCAGAGCACAAAUAAUGGAGCAAUGUGACUCUUCAAUGACAGAUCUCUGAUUUCCAGAAAAGAGACUUUGAAAUACCCAAUUCUAGUAAAUAUGCAAUUAAAUUUCCAGCUAAAUGACCUUUGCUCCUGUAGUCUUCAUCUUGGGGAAGGGAAAGAAGUCUUAUUCUGUUUAAUAGUUUGAUUUUUAUAAUAGGGUUUGUCUCUGUUAUAAAUCUUGUUUGAUAUUUAAAAUGUUAGCUAAGAGAAAACUUCUGUUUGUUUUUAUUUAGUGGGAAGAAACUAACCCUCAUUGAGUGCCUAGUUAACAUCAGGCACUUUGUACACAUAAUCAAUUGAAUCUUGACCACAACCCUGUGAGGUGAAAAAUGAGAAGAUUAAAUAAGCCAUGGGAAGAUUUUUUAAAAUGACAUGAAACUCCAAGGGUAAAAAGUAGGCUGGGAAAUCUUAGGAUGGUGAACCAUCAUGUUUCCUGAAUGUGAAUCCUGUACCUGGUUUGACUGUAGUCACCCCUUCUCCAACACUCUCCACGAUGCCGGCUGCCUCAUGGCCUAAAAUCACAGGAAGUGGGGUCACCAUGGUACCACUAACCACGUGGUCAUCUGUGCCACAGAUUCCUACAGCCACCAUCUACAGAGUGAAGAGAAGAUGUUUAUAAAAGAUUGUGAGUCUCAGGAUGUUCAACAUGAUCAAUGCCAAAUAAAUAUCAGAAUACUUGGAAGUAAAGUACUAAUAGUAGGAGUUCCUGAUUAUCAGGUGCCUAUGAUGUGACAGGCACAUUGUGGCCUGUGCUCGACCAGGAGACUGGUGAGUCCUUGUGGAUUUCUUCCCUGCUCAAGUGCAUAAAGCAGGUGUAUUGCAUAGCUUUUCCAGGCUGAGAUCAAAGACGGAGAUGUGCCUACCCGCAGAUCCUAGAUGGCCAUGUUUGCAACAGAGGUAAUGAUGAGCAGUGCGAAGAUGUGACUCCAAAGCCUGGAGAAGGACAGACCAGCAUCCCUGCAAGAGAUCCAACUGUCUUCUUUUCCGCAGAGGUCCAUAAUUUACAUGGGCCUGACAAAGAAUACUGUAACUUGCAGAAAUUAUCUUCAGUUCAAAUCCUUCAUUUUGGGGGUUAAAUAACUUGGUAAGAUAAUGAGAUUAAUAUUAUUGUAAAGAUUGCUAGAAAGAAUUGUAACAGUUCAUGUAUGUGCAUAAAUAACAACCUUAAAGCAUGUUUUGGGAUGAGGUGCAAAAUGAAAAUUGGGAGAGGGACUUUAGUAGCAGUAAACAGAACUUGAGAAUGGAAUAGAUGCAUACUCUAUAGCACACUGCAAUAAAUAGAAUACAUUUUAAGUUCCUAGAGAAAUUUUUGAAAAUGCCACAUUCAAAGCCAUCAAUCCCUACUCAAUUAGCAUUUCAUUUUGAUUUUGGUACUGAAGCCCAAGAUGUCGAGGGAGCGGAAAUACUUGCUGGUCUUGCAGCGGCUGUGGAGCCUGGAAUCCUGCCAAGAAGAGCAUGUGUGAGAGAUCAAAAUGUUUGCUUACAUUCCUCCUGUGAAGGGAGUUGGGAAAUAACCUAAGAAGCCCAAUCCAAAAACAAAGAUGUACCAUCCAGUCUUCUCUGUGAGAACCAAACUACAAACCAUCUGAAUGUUCCAAAAGUGUUUUGAUGAUGUAUUGAUGUAUUUUAAAUUAUCCUGAAAAUGUUCUUGGCAGAUGCUUAAACAUGUAAUUACUGAGAUGAUGUAGAAAUACCAAGUGUUUAUUAAAACAAUACAGAGUAAUACAAAUGGUAUGUUUGUCGCAAUAUAAAAGUAUCUAAAAAUUAAAGAGUUCUUUAAUGGUGGAGAUUGUUUUCCUUUUUGAAGUUAAAAUAUAAAUUUUUGUAAAAAGCACAAAUUAUUACUAUUUAUAGCUAACAUUUAUGGAGUGCUGACUAUGCUCAUUUUUGAGCAUACAUUGCCUCAUUUAGUGCAAUGUUUAGCAUUAACUUAUGAGGUAAAUGCCAUUGCCAUGCACAUUGUACAGAUGAAGACAUUGAGGUUUAGAGAGAUUGCAU